rnacentral:lncRNA from 14 species
AGCCGGUUGAGGACUCAACGGAACAGUAAUGUGUGUCUGGUUAAUAGUAAGUGCUUCUGUGAUUGUAUUGAAUGUAAAUUGCGCCUUUUGGUUCCAAGCACAGCUGAAGACCAAUGUUUGGAUAACUCUGGCUAACAUGAUGGGCCAGGACUCUAUUUGCCUAGCUACUGCAUCUCCAAGCAAUCCUUUUUCAACAUGCCUGGUCGGUGUCUCGCUCGACAUUUGGCCGAUCCCUGAACCAGCCAAGCCAUUACAGCUCCAGGGUCAAAAUAUGACAGAUUAUUGGGAUGCCUGGACUGUAUAUCUUCCACAAAGAGGUUUAGAACCUCAAGAAAUUGAGCUGUUGGGAUCGGUAAAAAUGGAUUAUUGUGUAUAUUUCAAUUAUUCAGGACGGAAUUCCACCUCCCUUGUGCAGAUAGUAAAUGCAUCUGUUCCAGAAUAUCGCAAUCAGACCAUUUGGUGUAAUUAUACUAGUAGUAACAUUUCAAAGUCUAUUAAUGACCCUCUAAAAUUACCCCAUUGGAUAUUUUUAAUUUGUGGUGAUAGAGCAUGGCAGGGGAUCCCUUUGCAUGUAAGAGGAGGACCAUGCUCUCUAGGGAAAUUGACACUGUUAACUCCUAACUUUUCCAUUAUUCUGACUCAGAGGAGGAAGAAUAGAGGAAAACAGAGCAUUCACGCUUUUUACAGUGAUUGUAAUGACAAGGUAGAAUUCUGGGGACCCGGUGAAACCAUAAUAUCCUCACUGCUAGCCCCAGGAGUUGCUACUGCUCGAGAUUUAACAGCUCUUAGAAAGUUGGGGUGUUGGUUAGCAAAGCAAACCAACACUACAUCUAUGGCAUUGUCUGGGUUUUUGGCAGAUGUCGAUUCAAUCAGGCAUGCCACACUUCAAAAUCCUGCUGCCAUAGACUUUUUGUUAUUGGCACAAGGUCAUGGAUGUGAAGAUUUUGAUGGGAUUUGUUGUAUGAAUUUGUCCGAUCAUUCGGAAUCGAUUCACAAAGCGAUAAGACAGUUGGAUGACAUGACCAAAAAAUUAGUUAUUAGUGAGUGGGGUUUAGAUAAGUGGUUAAGCAGUUGGGG